rnacentral:tRNA from 1 species
AGAAGAAAAACCAAAAAGAGGUGAAUUUUUGUUAAUAAUUUUAUUGGGCUCCCCUUCUUCUGUAAGUUUAAAUCUAGC